UUACUAAGCGGAGGAAAAGAAACUAACAAGGAUUCCCCUAGUAACGGCGAGCGAACCGGGAAGAGCCCAACUUGGAAAUCUGGAUUGGCGCGAGCCAGUUCCGAAUUGUAGUCUAGAGAAGCGCCCUCUGCGGCGGCCCGGGCCUAAGUUCCCUGGAAUGGGACGUCAGAGAGGGUGAGAGCCCCGUCGAGGCCGGGUUGGCUGCUCCACGAGGCGGUUUCAACGAGUCGGGUUGUUUGGGACUGCAGCCCUAAGUGGGUGGUAAAUUCCAUCUAAGGCUAAAUACUGGCGAGAGACCGAUAGCGAACAAGUACCGUGAGGGAAAGAUGAAAAGAACUUUGAAAAGAGAGUUAAAAAGUGCUUGAAAUUGUUGAGGGGGAAGCGGUUGGAACCAGCGGGUGCCGCCCGGUUUCAUGCGGUCGCUUGCGGCCGUUGUCAACGCGGGGGGCUGGUCAGCGUGGGUUACCCGGGCGGGAGAAUACCCUCCUUGUCGAGGCGUGAUGCCGCCUGGGUGACCGAGGCGUGAAGCGUGCCCUGACUCUGAUCUGCGCGCUCGAGACGCUGGCGGAAUGGUUCCAAUUGACCCGUCUAGAAACACGGACCAAGGAGUCUAACAUGUAUGCGAGUCGGUGGGUAGGAAACCCACGAGGCGCAAGGAACCUGACAGGCGGGAGCUUCGGCGCACCGUCGACCGACCAUGAUCUUUUGUGAAAGGUUUGAGUAUGAGCAUACCUGUUGGGACCCGAAAGAUGGUGAACUAUGCCUGAGCAGGGCGAAGCCAGAGGAAACUCUGGUGGAGGCUCGUAGCGAUACUGACGUGCAAAUCGUUCGUCGGACUUGGGUAUAGGGGCGAAAGACUAAUCGAACCAUNUAGAAGCUGGUUCCCUCCGAAGUUUCCCUCAGGAUAGCUGGAGCUCGUUCAGUUUUAUCGGGUAAAGCGAAUGAUUAGAGGCCUGGGGGGCGAAACGCCUUCCACCUAUUCUCAAACUUUAAAUAGGUAAGCUGCCUCGGUCGCUUAAUUGAACCGCGGCGACGAAUGAGAGCUCCAUGUGGGCCAUUUUUGGUAAGCAGAACUGGCGAUGCGGGAUGAACCGAUAGUCGGGUUAAGGUGCCCAACUGCGCGCUAACCUAGAUCCCACAAAGGGUGUUGAUUGAUACAGACAGCAGGACGGUGGUCAUGGAAGUCGAAAUCCGCUAAGGAGUGUGUAACAACUCACCUGCCGAAUCAAUUAGCCCCGAAAAUGGAUGGCGCUGAAGCGCGCGACCUAGACCCGGCCAUCGAGGCGAGUGCGAGGCCUCGAUGAGUAGGAGGGCGUGGGGGCCGUGGCGCAGCCUGGGGCGCGAGCCCGGGUGAAACGGCCUCUAGUGCAGAUCUUGGUGGUAGUAGCAAAUAUUCAAAUGAGAACUUUGAAGACUGAAGUGGAGAAAGGUUCCAUGUGAACAGCAAUUGGACAUGGGUUAGUCGGUCCUAAGAGAUGGGCUAAUGCUGUAUGAAGGGCGCAGUGCGCGCCGGCCAUCGAAAGGGAACCGGGUUAAAAUUCCCGGACUGGGACUUGGCUGCGGACGGUAACGUAAACGAGCCGGGCGACGCCGGCGGGAGCCCCGGGAAGAGUUCUCUUUUCUUUUUAACAGCCUGCCAGCCUUGGAAUCGGUUUAGCCGGAGAUAAGGCCCAGCGGCUGGUAAAGCACCGCACGUCUCGCGGUGUCCGGUGCACUCCCGACGGCCCUUGAAAANCUCGGCGAGCCUCGGUACAGACC
rnacentral:rRNA from 1 species